AUCCCGCCAACGUGUCUCAAAUAGGACGAAAUGCUCAUCCUGGAU
rnacentral:hammerhead_ribozyme from 1 species